GGGGUUGUGGCUCAGUGGUAGAGUACUUGCCUAGCAAGUGAGAGGCACUGGGAUAGAUCCUCAACACAAUAUCU
rnacentral:tRNA from 1 species